rnacentral:misc_RNA from 1 species
GAACUGCGAUAAGUAAUGUUAAUUGCAGAAUUCAGUGAAUCAUCGAGUCUUUGAACGCACAUUGCGCCCCCUGGCAUUCCGGGGGGCAUGCCUGUCCGAGCGUCAUUGCUGCCCUUCAAGCCCGGCUUGUGUGUUGGGUCGUCGUCCCCUCCGGGGGACGGGCCCGAAAGGCAGCGGCGGCACCGCGUCCGGUCCUCGAGCGUAUGGGGCUUUGUCACCCGCUCGAUAAGGACCGGCCGGGCGCCAGCCGGCGUCUCCAACCUUUUUUUCUCAGGUUGACCUCGGAUCAGGUAGGGAUACCCGCUGAACUUAAGC